rnacentral:rRNA from 1 species
UACGAACCGUCCAAACGUUAUUCGGAUUCAUUGGGCUUAAAGGGUACGUAGGCGGCGCUAUCAGUCGGGUGUGAAAGCCCUCGGCUCAACCGAGGAACUGCGCCCGAUACUGUAGUGCUUGAGGGAGACAGAGGUAAGCGGAACUGAUGGUGGAGCGGUGAAAUGCGUUGAUAUCAUCAGGAACACCGGUGGCGAAAGCGGCUUACUGGGUCUCUUCUGACGCUGAGGUACGAAAGCUAGGGGGAGCGAACGGG